GAAAAUUAUAGUUGGCAAGGUGUUUGAACCAACAAAUUUUGUUUUGGUUUUUAUUCAUUAUGUUAAUUGAACGUAGACAUUUGUUUAUCUUAUAUUUCUCAUUUUGUUUUUUUUACCAUACUGAUUUUCAGUUUAUCUUCUCUUGUAUCUUCAGGAGGAAUUUUGGAACAGCUUCACAAAAGUGCUCCAGAGAGAGAAGAAUUUACGUAGGGAGAUGGCAACGUCUUUGUUGUGCCAGAGUGGAGGGAACAGUUUGUGGUUGAACUGGCUGCAUAAAGUGGCUCAGAAAGAAGACAAGAUAGUUUUUUCAUAUGAGGUUCCAGGCAGAGGAGAGCAGAGAGGAAACCAGCGUGAGGACUGUCUGCUUCCCGGAUGCACCUCUGGCUUCUUCCUCUGCAUGGCACUCUUCUGUCUCUCCACCAGGUUCAGCAGGCUGUGGUUUUCACAGUCAGUGGCCUGAACAUCCACUAGUCACGUGAGAACCAGGCCCAGUGGCAUAUGGGGAAGCACUCCUAAGCAUCUGGUCUAUAGGGAGGGUGAUACAUGCAGCUAUUUACUAAGGGGGCACAGUGUGUCACACAGCAGUUUACUAACACAUGUUGACUUAAUCUUUGGCAAAACCUGAAGAUGGAGGAACUCUUAUUAUUCCCACUUGACACACGAGGAAACUACUGCUCAGAGGGAAUAGACAAAUGUCCAAGAUCACAUGGCCAGAAAGUGGUGAACUGGGAUGGCCAACCCAAGUCCUCUCAUUCUGCUUUGAGUGUGUCAUACCCUGCUACCGUCUCCAUCCCCACGGACCCCUCCCCUAAUCCUGCCCUGGAAUCCUAGGAAGGAGGAACGCUGAAGGGAAUUCUGAACUAGGAGUCAGACAACUUGAAUUCUAAUCCCAUUCUGCAACAUACUUGCCAUGGUACCUUGGGAAAUACCCAUGUCUGACCCUGAAAUUCCUCACCUCUAAAAUGGUGAUAAUAUCCUUUGUCUUGCCCUUCUCCAUGGGUUUUAAAAGAACAUAAUAAGAUGGUGUAUGUAAGGGCUGUACCAAUGCUGUGCCAACUUGAAGACAACAGCCAGCUCAGUAGGUAGUAUAUGGGAAUUCUCUGUGCCUUCUCCUUAAUUUUGCUGUGAAACUAAAACUGCUCUAAAAGCUAAAGUUAAUUGAAAAAAAAAACAUGUCUCAUUAUCUUCAGACUCUGAGCAGAACCUCAUUUAUGUAUAAUGAUAAUAUUUAUGCAUAGUCAAGUCUGUUUCACAGAAAAACCUAAGGGUGGGUAAUUUGUACUGUCAGUGGACUAGCAGAGCUCAGAACAUGAACAACCCAGGUUUCUACAUUGGCACACAUCCCUUAUACAAUUUCUCAACAUGGCAGAAACAAACGUGUUUACUGAAAGACCCAAAGAUAUAGCCUCCCUAGCAUAUACAAGUAAGGAUCAAAAGUACAUAAACUUAAAAUUGUACUU
rnacentral:lncRNA from 1 species